rnacentral:rRNA from 1 species
GAGCUUGAUUGCAAGACAUACAGGUCGAGCAAGGAUGAAAAUCGGACUUAGUGAUCCGGUGGUUCUGCGUGGAAGGGCCAUCGCUCAACGGAUAAAAGCUACCCUGGGGAUAACAGGCUUAUCUCCCCCAAGAGUCCACAUCGACGGGGAGGUUUGGCACCUCGAUGUCGGCUCAUCACAUCCUGGGGCUGUAGUAGGUCCCAAGGGUUGGGCUGUUCGCCCAUUAAAGUGGUACGCGAGCUGGGUUCAGAACGUCGUGAGACAGUUCGGUCCCUAUCCGUCGCAGGCGUAGGAAAUUUGAGAAGACCUGUCCUUAGUACGAGAGGACCGGGAUGGACGUACCUCUGGUGUACCAGUUGUCCUGCCAAGGGCAUGGCUGGGUAGCUAUGUACGGAAUGGAUAAGCGCUGAAAGCAUCUAAGCGCGAAGCCAACUUCAAGAUAAGAUUUCCCACCGCAAGGGUAAGACCCCAGAAAGACUAUCUGGUUGAUAGGUCGAAGGUGUAAGUGCAGCAAUGUACUUAGCUUAUCGAUACUAAUAGGUCGAGGACUUGACCAAU